rnacentral:lncRNA from 1 species
GGAAUCUCCUUCCACCCUUUUCCCUUUGGUUCUUGAUGAUCUCUUAGGAGCCAUAUCUAAUCAUGAUGAUAGAUUAAGAGAGAACUUUAAAGAAUAGGCCAAAUAAUGAGAGGAAGAAAAGAAAAAAAAAAUUCAGAUCUUACCUUAUAUAAGUUUCCUUGGGAGGUAGAGAGCUUGAUCCAAGAAGAACCCCUCUCUUAGGCUUCUAGAGGCUUAGAAUGAGGUUGAGAGAGGUUUAGAG